rnacentral:rRNA from 1 species
GAUGAACGCUGGCGGCGUGCCUAAUACAUGCCAGUCGAGCGAACGGACGAGAAGCUUGCUUCUCUGAUGUUAGCGGCGGGCGGGUGAGUAACACGUGGAUAACCUACCUAUAAGACUGGGAUAACUUCGGGAAACCGGAGCUAAUACCGGAUAAUAUUUUGAACCGCAUGGUUCAAAAGUGAAAGACGGUCUUGCUGUCACUUAUAGAUGGAUCCGCGCUGCAUUAGCUAGUUGGUAAGGUAACGGCUUACCAAGGCAACGAUGCAUAGCCGACCUGAGAGGGUGAUCGGCCACACUGGAACGGAGACACGGUCCAGACUCCUACGGGAGGAAGCAGUAGGGAAUCUUCCGCAAUGGGCGAAAGCCUGACGGAGCAACGCCGCGUGAGUGAUGAAGGUCUUCGGAUCGUAAAACUCUGUUAUUAGGGAAGAACAUAUGUGUAAGUAACUGUGCACAUCUUGACGGUACCUAAUCAGAAAGCCACGGCUAACUACGUG